UUUCUCUCUGUCUCUCUCUCUCACUGUCCACUCUGCCUGUCAAAAAAAAAAAAAAAAAUAAAUUAAAAAAAAGAAAAUGGGUACAUUAAAGCUAUGUAUUUGUAGGAUUCAGGAAUAUGGAAGUGAACCCCAGGAGACACAGCUAAAUGCCUUUGGAUCAGGAGAAGGAAUGAUCAAAUCCUGGGAAAGUGGGGUAUGCCCUGCAGUCUAGGAACUCCACUUUGGAAACUGCUGGUCUAGGACAUAGCAGGUGUUUAAUAAAUGUAAGUACUUUAAAAUAUAUAAUGAUUCU
rnacentral:lncRNA from 1 species